UUUUUUUUUUUUUUUUUUUAGGUAAAUACGCAUAAAACCUCUGCCUUGGUUAGCUGCUACGAUGGAUUUUGGCUCCCCGCCACAGUUCCUUAGAAGUGGGUUAUCGUUGGCCGUUUGUUGCGUCGGAAGUCAAUAGCAACUACCCAACUCACGCCGUCUAUAGCCCCAAUCUGCAACGCAACCUAGCGGCGACUUUAACCAAUUCCUGAAGCAAAAACUAUGGAUAUCGAUACUGAUAUAGAUCACUAUGCCAUUCUUGGGUUGCCAUCGGGGGAGGAAGGUUCCAAGCUUACUGAGAAAGAGAUAUCAAAGGCGUAUAGAGUGAAGGCCUUGGAGUUACAUCCUGACAAGAGGCCAGAUGAUCCCAAUGCCCAUAUCAAUUUCCAAAGGCUCAAAACCUCUUAUGAGAUGCUCAAGGAUGAGAAAGCCAGGAAAGUAUUUGACGAAUUUCUGAAGUUUAAGAGGGAGAAGCUUCGCCGUCAAUCAGAACUCGAUGCCAGGCGUGAUGGCAAGCGAAGGAAGAUGGUCUCUGACCUGGAGGAAAGAGAACGGGCAGCUUUUGAACCGGACCCUUCUGCAAAAGCUCGAGAAGAAGAGGAAAGAAUUGCAAGGAAGCUUAAAGAAGAGAUUGCAAGAAUACGUGCAAUGCACGCUAGUAAAGGGGCAGAAACUACUUCAUUUUCGAAGACAAAGAUGGGUGGUCUUGGUAAGGAGAGUGUGGGUACUGCUGGGGCUGGAUUAGAUAAGGAGAGAGUGCUUAAAGUAUCUUGGGAGAAGUUUGGUCAGGAUUAUAGUUAUACAGCAGAGAGGUUGAGAGAGCUGUUCUCAAAGUUCGGUGAUGUUGAAGAUGUUGUCAUCAAGGGUUCCAAGAAGAAAGGUUCUGCACUUGUUGUAAUGGCCACUAAAGAUGCAGCUGUUGCUGCUACAGGAAAUCUCUCUGGUGAUCUUUCUAACCCAUUGCUAGUUUUACCUCUUCAACCUCUUCAUCCAACUGCAGCAACAGAGGUACCAACUGCUCCAAAGUCAGCAGAACCUGAUCACAGUCAUUUGGUUGGUGCUGCAUAUCAAUCAUUUGAAGAUGCUGUUCUCAAAAAACUCCAAAAGGCUGCCAAAAAGCAAAAUUGAUAUGGAAACAAUCGAAGGAAGAGAUUCCCAAAAACACCAUACAGUUGAUGAUCAACCUGAAUUCCAAACUUUGGGUGAUGAAGAUCCAUCAUGAUGCCUGUGGAGGGUUUCAAGAAUGAAUUUUCAAAAUUUUAUUCCGAUGGUGCUGAAACUGUUGAUGUAAAAUUUAGAUCAUUGUAAUACUUGAGGAGUUUUUGGUCUAACUUGUUCUGACCGUGUUGAUGGCCAAAGAUUCUUGCAUCAAAAGGCCAUUGAAGAUUUGCAUUAUGAUUGUGGGGGUUGACAGUUGAGUUUCCAGCUUGGCGGUGCAUUCUCAGCCCUCACAUUUCCAAGAUUUGCAUAACUGCUGUUGGGAUUCUUGUUCCACAAGAUGGUCAAUUGCCUGUAUUUUAACUUCUAUUUCUCGUCUUGAGUGUCUGUUAUUAAAAAAUGGGUCAAUUAUUUAAAUCAUGCAUGUAGAUUGAUUAAGGGAGCAAUUAGUCCCAUAAAAAA